rnacentral:misc_RNA from 1 species
GUGUACUGCAGCUGUUGUGCCGCUUUCCGUCGCUUGUCGGAGAGCUCAGUUCGAGCGUCCCGUUCUCGCCUCUGUGUUUCGUGAUACUCUACAACUCGCUAUCAUCAUUCUACCACGUCGGUGAGUUUCUUACAAUGAUCUCCUCUGUUUGCCCUUGUCUAGUGCCGUUCACGUUGCUUCCACAUCAAAAAUCCUCUACACAACCGCUCCAUCGCUUCUCCGCUUGACUGCUGCCUGCACGCUUGCUUCCCACAACACCACACCUCUUCUCAUGCUCUUCUCCCUCGGUCGCAUGCCCGCGCUCAGCACCGUCGCCCCAACAUCUACUACUGCGUGUCACCAUUGCCCGUCAUCCCGUUUGCCUCCUCGCUUCAUCACCCUGCAGCUCGCCAGAGUUCGCCCCGCGCCGUCAAAGUCCCACAGCUCGAUUGUGCCGAAGCAUCAAACUGUCUCGGUUCGUCUCGCCAUGUCUGGGCCCACACAGCGAGUUCACCAUCGACGACCUCGCUGGAGCCUCACCCUUGUUUUGUUCAUGCCGACGCCAAAGCCCACCCCGGUGUCCCUUCUUCGCG